UCCAAUGACUCCUGACAUUGGUCAAGGUGGGUGUGCAGCGUUAGAAGAUGCGGUGGUGCUAGGUAGGUGCCUCGGAGAGGUGUUUUUGAAGAAAGCGAGUGAAGAAGCAAUGGGAAGAUGAUGAGUUUGUUUAGGAAAGUAUGGUUUUCAAGCUACACUCCUAGUAUUUUCCUUAAAAUGGCUGAUUUUGAUUGUGGUAAUCUUGUCAGUUGAAUCACGAGAUGCAAAAUGAUUUGUGAUGUUUUGGGUAUUCUUAUCGAUCUAAAGAUGAUGACGUUGUUUUAAAUUGUUUAUUUUUCAUGAAUGUUUAGUUGUCUUGUUACAACAUUUCACAUUUCUAUGUUUUGUUUCAUAUUUUCAAUUUCAGAUAAUUGACUU
rnacentral:lncRNA from 1 species